CUCUUCAAUUUCAAUCUUUAAAGUUUGAGAGAGUUGGUUUGGUCAUUAAAUUAAUCCUUUUUGUGUGUUUUACUUCAAUUGAUGUUUUGAUCACCAGGUCUCGGAAACACUUUAGAGGUGCUGAAACUCAACAACAAUAAGCUUGUUAACUUAAAUGCCUCGACGAUUACGGGUCUCAUCAACUUAAACAGUCUGGACCUGAACAAUAAUUUUUGGAAUUGCACAUGCCACAUAAAGCCACUGCGAGUAUGGUUAGCCAAGCAGAACAUCCCCUUGAGCAUCCCACCGACGUGUCACUUUCCACAGCGCCUGCUUCAUCGGCCGUGGGACAAACUGGAGCUGGAGGACUUCGCCUGUAAACCACGCGUCCGACCACUGCACGCUACUUACAUUGCUAACGAGAUGGCCAAUGUAACUCUAGAAUGCGAAAUUUGGGCGGACCCUGUUCCAAAUAUAACAUGGACUCGGCGUGGAAAGGUCGUCGCGAACAGCACCUCAAAUAGCGUCAGCGUGGUCAACCGGCGUCUCUUCGACUUGCACAGGGCCUACAACAUCAGCUACCUGACCGUCUUCUCAGUGGACGCCUCUGACGCGGGCGAGUACGCCUGCGUUGCAGAGAACCGCGGCGGGCGGACCCAAGCAUUGCUCAACUUAUCUGUGAUAAAAGCCGCUCCGACUUCAGACAAACAUAGCCUGAUUCAGAGCCGGCUUCUCAUCCACGGCCUUUUCGUCGUACUCCUCCUGAUAGUGGUUCUCCUUUUCGUGUUCAUUUAUGUGCUAGUUUUCAAGAACCGAGUCCGGCUAAAAACCACCCGGUCGGCCGAGCGGGAGAAUUAUGACAAAAUAGAGCUGAACCAUUGCAACGCGUCGAAGCAGGAACUGGCAACGGUAGAGGAGACAACGCGACAUCCCAAGCUGAGGCAAUACGUGAGCUUGCCCGAACCUCCGGAUCCACGCUCGCCUACGGGUAAGACUCCGCCCAUGUCUUUCAGGGGGAUUUCGUCUCCUGAUGAGCGAUUGCAGAGGCUUGGUCAAAAUGUAACACGGCAGACUGGAAUCGACCCGGAUAGAGAGCCUGAAACUAGAGAUGCGGCUAUUCGGUCAUACUAUGAGGAAAACUUCGGAGAGGUAACGCUGAAGCAUCAUGUGCUCCGAAAGGAGUUUCUGCCGUCAGGAAGACUGUACACCACCUCGAAACAAAGCUCCAAAACCUUCCCGGACUUAUUGGAAUCGUCACCUCCAAGUAAUGCGGGUCAACGACAUAUGUUUAGUACCUUACCUAGGAUGCAAUCACAUAGUUCCCAGAGUUCUCACAGUCGAUCACCCCUUCUGCCGAGUAGCAGCCAAGCAAGUAGUAUGGAGAAUAGCAGUUUAUCCAGUAGAAAUCAUUUAAUGGACCUCGAAAUGGCCAAUUACAAUAAAAGGAAUUUGGCGGUGAGGUCGGAGAUGAACUCCUCGACUUCUUUGAACUUGGCCCCGGAGCUGAGCGUUUACGGGCGGCGCGACAACCCGAGUCUGCCGAGUUCCCCGAUCCGGCACCGGGAGAGGGAUCAGCCGCGGCUCGACCCCCUCAACAAGCGCCACUCCUCCCUCUGCGAGACGCCUAUCCUCAAUAUUCUCGAGCCGACGCGCACCGCUUCCCGCUUCUCCAUGAUCGCCUCCACCACCUACGACUACCACGCCGCCCAACUCGAGCGCUUCCUCGAGGAGUACCGAACUCUUCAGGUGGAGCUGACCAAAAUGAAGGAGUCCUGCGACAGUUUCGUGCGCAACAUUGACCGGGAGGAACGUCAAACCGUCAUUUCAAGUGAAGAGUGUGACACCUUCAAUAUGAAGCCUGUUACAACAUAUCCUACGGACCAUGAUCCUGGACCGAAGUCAAUACUGAAAAACAAGACUGCGUCCAAUUUUGUUGCGCGUGAGCCACCAUUUGAAAAAAACCCUCUUCAUCAAGAAAACCCAUGCACUGAACAAGAGAUGAUUUGGGACAAUGAGACGAGACAGUAUGUUCAUUCGAUGCGACGAACUGAUAUUAACAGGAUUUAUUACAAUAGCUGAGAGUUGUAGAACUGUCAAAUGAGACAAAAACUUUAGACAAGUACCGAGGGCUGAAAUAAAAAAACUGUCCUCCAUUCCGCAUGGACUUCAAUUUUACGAUGACUGUUGUUUUAAUAUAGCAUAAUGAAAUUUAAGGACCAAUCUUACAGGCAUGAAAUUUUUGAGGAUACGCAUCAGAUCAUUAAAAGAAUUUCAAAACCAUGUACCGACUCACUUGUACGUAAAUUAUUUUUGGCAAACGCGUUCUACAGUGCUGCCUUCCCCUUUCGCAUCCUUGUUUUGUGAGUCGUGCCUUUAACUACCAGAAAAACCUAUUACAUCAAUUUUGAUUUCCUACUUGUGUACCAUCUGUUGCAGCUUACUAAACCAUGGUGCGGAAAAUUAAGGGUCAAUGUCCAUCAGUUGGUCCUUGAACAGUAGUUAUCCUUUGUCACGGGCUGGGUCCUCUUGUACAGGAUAUUAUGAAAUGUCCAGAAUUUAGCUGGCACAUCAUAUAAGGCUUUUCUUUUGUAUUUUAGAUUCCGGGUUGUUAUUAUGAUUUUAAUUUUCUCUAGUGGGAGAAACAAUUUAUUUCUCUAUUUUUUUAGGUGCUCUUAUUACCCAACAGGUACGGUAACCUUUGUAAAAUCCUUCAUUUAAAUUUCUUAUCCUCUAACAUAGAAUAAAAAUUGGAGGUGUGAAAAUUGGAUUAACCUGGGAGUUAAGGUGCUCUUUUUGUGAACUAUACUUAGAAAAUAAUAUGGUGUUCUUUUUGAAUGAUAUUUUAUACUCCGUUAUAUCAUUUUAUGAUGCUUUGGCCUUCAUGACGUAUUUUUCAUAAUAAUUAGAUUAUUUGUCUUUGUUGCUACUUAAAGCCAAAUUGUACAGUUGUUAGAUAAUUUAUUGACUAUUUUUAUUCAUAAUAAGCAAACGUUUAAAUGUUAAUAAACCUUGUGAUCAAUAAAAAAUAUUAUUUCACG
rnacentral:lncRNA from 1 species